AGGCAAGAAGCGAAUAUUCGCUGUUGAUUUCGGCUCAUCCUUUGGUCUAAUAGGGCCCUUGUUUU
rnacentral:tRNA from 1 species